GGCGUGUACCAGGAUCUGGGCCGUUGACCGAGGGACCGGUGCCAGCCAGCGCCCCGGCAGCCUCCCGGCUCCUCGUGUUGCCUGUCACUACGCGCCGGUGGGUUUUGACCGACAACACGCUGUUAAUUUGGGUUUCAGGUCAUGAAGGGGAAGCAAAUGUGCAAUCAUUAUUGGUGAAUUGCUUGUGAUGUAGUGCAAAUGCACAAAUAUCAUAUCAUAGCCUGCAUAUUAGAAUUAAUUAUUUGCAAGAUCCGAAUUAGUUAUGAUUAUUGCAUUUGUUGGGCAUAUGGUUGUGUCCAGAGAAUACAAAUAUUUGAAAUUAUACUGUGUAUUAGUUAAGAAAACCAGAUCAGGUUGCUUUUGUACAGAAAAUUAUGAAAUAAAUUGCUAAAGAAUUUAUGAGAUGUUGCUUGACAAGAAUUAUUAGUAGUUCAGGUGAAGAUAUGCA